rnacentral:tRNA from 1 species
GUUUCUGUAUUGUAAUGGUUAUCACAUUUGCCUCACAUGCAAAAGGCCCCGGGUUCAAAACUGGGCAGAAACA